UACGGGGGGGGGCAAGCGUUGUUCGGAAUUACUGGGCGUAAAGGGCUCGUAGGCGGCCAACUAAGUCAGACGUGAAAUCCCUCGGCUUAACCGGGGAACUGCAUCUGAUACUGGAUGGCUUGAGAUUGGGAGAGGGAUGCGGAAUUCCAGGUGUAGCGGUGAAAUGCGUAGAUAUCUGGAGGAACACCGGUGGCGAAGGCGGCAUCCUGGACCAACACUGACGCGUGAGGAGCGAAAGCCAGGGGAGCAAACGGG
rnacentral:rRNA from 1 species